UACGUAGGGCGCAAGCGUUGUCCGGAAUUAUUGGGCGUAAAGAGCUCGUAGGCGGUUUGUUACGUCCGCUGUGAAAACCCAGGGCUUAACCCUGGGCUUGCAGUGGAUACGGGCAGACUAGAGGUAGGUAGGGGAGAAUGGAAUUCCCGGUGUAGCGGUGAAAUGCACAGAUAUCGGGAGGAACACCGGUGGCGAAGGCGGUUCUCUGGGCCUUACCUGACGCUGAGGAGCGAAAGCGUGGGGAGCGAACAGG
rnacentral:rRNA from 1 species